rnacentral:rRNA from 1 species
UUAGUGGCGGACGGGUGAGUAACGCGUGGAGAACCUGCCGUAUACUGGGGGAUAACACUUAGAAAUAGGUGCUAAUACCGCAUAAGCGCACAGCUUCGCAUGAAGCAGUGUGAAAAACUCCGGUGGUAUGAGAUGGCCCCGCGUCUGAUUAGGCAGUUGGCGGGGUAACGGCCCACCAAACCGACGAUCAGUAGCCGACCUGAGAGGGUGACCGGCUACAUUGGGACUGAGACACGGCCCAAACUCCUACGGGAGGCAGCAG